GGGGAAUAUUGGACAAUGGGCGAAAGCCUGAUCCAGCAAUGCCGCGUGAGUGAUGAAGGCCUUAGGGUUGUAAAGCUCUUUUACCCGGGAUGAUAAUGACAGUACCGGGAGAAUAAGCUCCGGCUAACUCCGUGCCAGCAGCCGCGGUAAUACGGAGGGAGCUAGCGUUGUUCGGAAUUACUGGGCGUAAAGCGCACGUAGGCGGCUUUGUAAGUUAGAGGUGCAAGCCUGGAGCUUAACUCCAGAAUUGCCUUUAAGACUGCAUCGCUUGAAUCCGGGAGAGGUGAGUGGAAUUCCGAGUGUAGAGGUGAAAUUCGUAGAUAUUCGGAAGAACACCAGUGGCGAAGGCGGCUCACUGGACCGGUAUUGACGCUGAGGUGCGAAAGCGUGGGGAGCAAACA
rnacentral:rRNA from 1 species